GACGAACGCUGGCGGCGUGCUUAACACAUGCAAGUCGAACGCUGAAGACCUGGCUUUUGUUGGGUUGGAUAAGUGGCGAACGGGUGAGUAACACGUGAGUAACCUGCCCUCUUCUUUGGGAUAACGCCCGGAAACGGGUGCUAAUACUGGAUAUUCACUGAUCUUCGCAUGGGGGUUGGUGGAAAGGUUUGUUCUGGUGGGGGAUGGGCUCGCGGCCUAUCAGCUUGUUGGUGGGGUGAUGGCCUACCAAGGCUUUGACGGGUAGCCGGCCUGAGAGGGUGACCGGUCACAUUGGGACUGAGAUACGGCCCAGACUCCUACGGGAGGCAGCAGUGGGGAAUAUUGCACAAUGGGCGAAAGCCUGAUGCAGCGACGCCGCGUGAGGGAUGGAGGCCUUCGGGUUGUAAACCUCUUUCGCUCAUGGUCAAGCCGCAACUGUGGGUUGUGGUGAGGGUAGUGGGUAAAGAAGCGCCGGCUAACUACGUG
rnacentral:rRNA from 1 species